AGGAUAGAGCCUGAGAGUCUCAGCCAAAGCUGCGUGGAGAUACUGCAUCUUUUCGAGGGCUUCUUCAGUUAUGCUGGCUGCAAUCUCAUCAGGGGUUGAAUUAUCUGUCCCUGCUGCUUCUCUGACUUCAUGUGCAAUCUUUUCCUGUAUGUGUGGAUGCUUGCAGAGCAUGUAAACAAACCAGGAAAGAGUGGAGGCUGUGGUGUCCUUUCCAGCAAUCAUAAAACUGAGAACUAUGUCUCUUAAGGACUUUGGUUUUGUCUCCUUCAAUUAAAGAAAUCUCGACAAAAUGUCCCCAUGUUUCAUCUGCCAUUCAUGUGAGCACAGAGUGUUUUUAUAAAAUUUUCCUCAUGUUUGAUUUGGAUCUAGUGGCAGACCAAGAACUUUUGAUGGGCGAAGGGGGAGACAUAGAAUAUCUCAAUAGUGUUAAUCAAUUUACAGAAAUCGCUUAAUCUUCCAGAAGAUAUCGACAUACCGGUACAGGGUUAUUGUGCUUGCUUCAUCAAAAGCUUUAGAGAACCGGGUUCCUUCUUCAUUUGUUCCACACAUGCUAUCCAGCUCUACACCAAGAAUGACCUUGAAUACAGAGUGCAAGGAUGCUUUCAUGAACUGAUCCUGUUGAUGAUCACUGCUACAGUGGUUAGUCCAUAUCAUUGAAAGAUAUAUGUAAAAUUUUACCGUUUGUACUUUCUUACUUGAUAUCUAUUAUUUCAUUUGAGGCCGCAACUUGGGAUAGCGUGUGAGCAAGUUUUGCUGCAUUGCUUCUAAACACUUCACUGCUGAAGUCCCUCAGUACCUUGGUGGAGAAUUCAUUGCUCCAUACCUUCCUCUGAUGCCGCCAUUUGUCGCCAUCCACCGUGAAGAUUCCAUCGCCCAGAAGAUCGGUCAAAAUACUAUAGUGGUACCAUCCCUGCAACAAGUUCUUUCUUCAGAAAGAAUGAAGUCCUCUAGGCUCAUUCACGCUUGUGAAGUAACUAAGGCAGUGUUUGGGAGCUUAGAUUUCGAGAUUUGGAUUUGAAUUGUGUGGAUUUGGAAGAAAAUUGGUACAAUUUUAUACUGUUUUCUGUCCAAAUCCACAUGAAUCCAAAUGAAGCCUCCAGAUCCAUGCUCCCCAACCCAAGGUAAGGCUUUUCCCUCCUGAAUUUUCAUGAGAAACAAGGAAGACAGGGAAACUGUUGGGAAAAUUUCUGCAAGUUAGAAAUUACCCGAUUUCUUAUUCCACUGCCAAAAAGACCGUGACCACAUGUUGAGGAUUGGCUUUUGGAGUUUUUCCCAAGGAAAGCUUACAACCAUGGAACUAACAUAAUACCAUGAUUGCGUAUGCAUUGUUACUUUGCCAUAGUUCUCAAAGUUUGUUUUCAGAAUAUGCUCAACAUUGGUUGGGUCUGCAGUGUAAACCAUGCUUCCAAAAAGGUUAAGCAAUCUGAAACUUGUGUGUUUGCAGGUAAGGUCAGUGAGGUAAUGGUGCAGCCUGCUGAAGUUGAGUAGUAGAUGGAAGACAGUGCCGUCUAUGGGAUGGUAUCUCUUUUUCUUCUUUAGCAACACUCUGUUGCCAAGAAUUUUGGUAAUGAAAACAGCUAGAACUAUGACUAGAAUUGAAAACAAGAUGUCAGUGAACCCCAUUGUUGAUCAAUUCAAUGGAAUGAAGAACUUAAAAUGGUUUUCUUCCUAGUA